rnacentral:rRNA from 1 species
UCCGUAGGCGGUGUGGCAAGUCGGGAGUGAAAUCUCUGGGCUUAACUCAGAGGCUGCUUCCGAAACUGCUGUGCUUGAGUGUGGGAGAGGCGCGUGGAAUUGCAGGUGUAGCGGUGAAAUGCGUAGAUAUCUGCAGGAACACCCGUGGCGAAGGCGGCGCGCUGGACCACAACUGACGCUGAGGGACGAAAGCUAGGGGAGCAAACAGGAUUAGAUACCCUGGUAGUCCUAGCCCUAAACCAUCAGGACUUGGGGUGUCUCGAGUACUCGGGACGUCCCGGAGCUAACGCGUUAAGUCCUGCGCCUGGGGAGUACGGUCGCAAGACUGAA